rnacentral:rRNA from 1 species
UCGCCUGUUUAUCAAAAACAUGGUUUCUUGAGAUAAAUAAGAGAUUUAACCUGCCCACUGAAAGUUUAAAUUUGAAGGGCCGCAGUAUUUUGACUGUGCAAAGGUAGCAUAAUCAAUAGUCUUUUAAUUGAAGGCUAGAAUGAAUGGUUGGACGAGGUAAAUACUGUUUUAAGGUGAAUAGAUGUUGAAUUUAAAUUUUAAGUAAAAAUGCUUAAAUGAAAUUAAGGGACGAGAAGACCCUAUAGAGUUUAAUAUAAAUUUUGUUUUAAAUGUUAAAAAUUAAUAUAAUUAAAAUUUUUAUUUGGUUGGGGAGAUGGAAAGAUAAAUGUAACUCUUUUUUGAAAUAAAUUUAAAUUAAUAGAUUUUUGAUCCAUUAUUUAGUGAUUAUAAGAUAAAAUUACCUUAGGGAUAACAGCGUAAUUCUUUUUGAUAGUUCAUAUAGAAAAAAGAGAUUGUGACCUCGAUGUUGGAUUAAGAUAAAUUUUAGGUGUAGAUGUUUAAAAAAUAUGGUCUGUUCGACCAUUAGAUUCUUACAUGAUCUGAGUUCAAACCGGAGA